AAAGAUUUGAUUCAGUUUGUUAUUGUGUGAAGUGCACGUUCAAUUGAUAUACUUUGUUUAUUCGUGUUGAUAUAUGUUAUUACGUGUAUUAUUAUCUUAGUUUUAUGAUGACUGUUUAGAUGUUUAAUAUAGAAAUUUUUCGAGUGUAUCACCUUGGUUUUGUUAUUCUUACUUAACUUGUGAAAUAUGGUAUACCAAGAUAGGCCGUUAUUGAACUUGGAUAUUUUAUUGGAUAUUAAACAAUGCAAAACUUUUUUAUAUCCCUAUAAUUUGAAAAGGAAGCAAGAUAAAGCAGUAUUUGUACAAGGUGUGUCAGUCAUGUUCUAAAUCAGAAUUAUAAAGAAGACACGUCACCACCGGCACAACCGAUAACGGCUCAUCAGCGCUUGUCUUCGGAACAAUAAAAAUCGCGGACAUCAAA